UAGGGAAUUUUCGGCAAUGGGGGGAACCCUGACCGAGCAACGCCGCGUGAAUGACGAAGUACUUCGGUAUGUAAAGUUCUUUUAUAUGGGAAGAAAAGCAAAUUAUUGACGGUACCAUAUGAAUAAGCCCGGCUAACUAUGUGCCAGCAGCCGCGGUAAUACAUAGGGGGCAAGCGUUAUCCGGAUUUACUGGGCGUAAAGGGUGCGUAGGUGGUUAUAAAAGUCUGUGGUGUAAGUGCAGUGCUCAACGCUGUGAGGCUAUGGAAACUAUAUAACUAGAGUGAGACAGAGGCAAGUGGAAUUCCAUGUGUAGCGGUAAAAUGCGUAAAUAUAUGGAGGAACACCAGUGGCGAAGGCGGCUUGCUGGGUCUAAACUGACACUGAUGCACGAAAGCGUGGGGAGCAAACAGGAUUAGAUACC
rnacentral:rRNA from 1 species